AACUAUGUAAUUAGUUUUUAUUUUUGUCUAUAUUUAAUACUCAAUGCAUGCGUCUAAAGAUUCGAUGCGACGGAGAAUCUUGAAAAAUUUUAGGUUUUGGAUGGAAGUAAACAAGGUCUCAAUCAUAGACACUUUGUCAAAUGCAUCUCUGAAAAAUCUACUUGUCAUCGGAGGCCCGUCAUGUCGACAAACACCUCCUGGCACAAAACAUAGACAAACACCUGUAAUGAGUUAUCGUGGGUGAUAGAUUACGGGGUGAGUGUGCACUCGUGUAUGUGAGUGCCUGCGUCUCUGGGUCUCGCAAAAGAAGAAUACCAGAGACACAUACGAACAUGACGCGUUUGUGGUGUUUCACUACAGAUGUGUCGUGAUUCUGUGUAACUAAUAUUGGUGUCUUGUUUUGCAGUUUUGAAACUGUGUCUCCUCUCUCUUUUGCCCACUCUUCCACGCAAUGCCACCUUUUGUGCU
rnacentral:lncRNA from 1 species